CAAAGGUAUGGUCCCGACCUUUCCAUUAGCUCUAACCCAACUUACACAUGCAAGUAUCCGCAGCCCUGUGAGUAUGCCCUUAAUCCCCCGACCUGGGAUGAGGAGCGGGCAUCAGGAACAAAUAUUUAGCCCAAAACGCCUGGCCAAGCCACACCCCCAAGGGAAUCCAGCAGUGAUAAACAUUAAGCCAUAAGUGAAAACUUGACUUAGUCAGGGUUAAGAGGACCGGUAAAAUUCGUGCCAGCAACCGCGGUUAAACGAAUAGUCCUAGUUAAUGAUAACGCGGCGUAAAGGGUGGUUAAGGAUAACAAAAAUAAAGUCAAAUGGCCCCUUGGCUGUUAUACGCUUCUAGAUGUCCGAAGUCCAAAUACGAAAGUUACUUUAGUAAAACUACCUGACCCCACGAAAACUGAGAAACAAACUGGGAUUAGAUACCCCACUAUGCUCAGUUGUAAACCAAGACAUACAUAUACAAUAAUGUCCGCCCGGGUAUUACGAGCACCAGCUUAAAACCCAAAGGACCUGACGGUGCCUUAGACCCCCCUAGAGGAGCCUGUUCUAGAACCGAUAAUCCCCGUUAAACCUCACCAUUUCUGGCCAACCCAGCCUAUAUACCGCCGUCGCCAGCUUACCCUAUGAAGGAAUAAAAGUAAGCAAAAAGAAUAUUAUUAAAAACGUCAGGUCGAGGUGUAGCGAACGAAAUGGGAAGAAAUGGGCUACAUUUUCUAUAGCAGAAUAUUACGAAUAUGCAAUAUGAAACUAAUGCUUGAAGGAGGAUUUAGUAGUAAAAAGGAAAAAGAGUGUCCUUUUGAACCCGGCCCUGAGGCGCGUACACACCGCCCGUCACUCUCUCCUGUCACAAUGCAAAAAAUUCUAUAUAAUACAAAAGCAAAGACAAGGGGAGGCAAGUCGUAACAAGGUAAGUGUACCGGAAGGUGCACUUGGAUAAACC
rnacentral:ncRNA from 1 species